AUGGCCUCCAAGGCCCCUAGAUCCCCCAAGGUCACUUUUAAGAGCUGUGUGGCCUGUGGGAAGAAGAUCCCCUCCACCGAUGGUCACCGUUUGUGUUUGUUUUGCCUUGGAGAGACGCACGUUCCUCAAUCCUGUCGACAUUGCGAAAGUUUUACCAAGCAGGGGUUGAGACUUAGAGAACAGCGUCUACGUGCAGCCCUUUGGGAGAAAUCUCUGCGCCCUCCGGAUAUGGCGGCAGCUACUUCAGCGAUGGACCCUGAUCCUUUACCAGACUUAAAAUCUAAGGAAAAGGGUAAAGCUCCUAAGAGCAAAGCCAAGGCCAAACCGCCGUCCAAAUCGUCAAAGGCUAAGGCUAUGGCCUUGCCACCUCUGCCACCUCUGCCCUCUCCUCCUCAAGGUACUCCUAUCUUAAUACCACCGACGUCUCCGUCGUUGCCAGUGUUGACCCCACAGUCUCCUAUUGAGGUCCCUUCUCAGGGCUCCUCGCCGCCAUCUUCUUCGCCAGCUCCACUUCCACCUACACUGGUGUUGCCCUCACAAUCUUCUCCUACUAGAAAGAAAAAAACAAAGACCAAACAUUUGGUGCUAUCUGCUGGAAAUUCCCGGUCUCCGAGACACUCGGGACCGAAGGUCUCCCCCCAUGGGGCUCGACAUUCUCGCCCCAAAAAGAAUAAGAGGCAUGCGCUAAUGGGGGACGCGCCGCCUCUUAAGCUCUCCAAGAGCUACCUUAAGAAGUGGAGAAAGCAGAUGCAAAAGCUCUACGACCCGUGUCUUCUGUAUAGCCUUGCUACUAAGGACUCGUCUUCGGACUCCUCUUCGUCUUUGUCGGAUUCCUCUGACGAAUUUCUGUCUCCUCCGGUAUUGCCCUCUCCCGAUACCGGGAAAAAGAGACACCGCACAUUACUGACCGAUCUUCCGGUACCGAAAAAAGCGAAACACGGCUAUCCGCCUGUUUUCCCAACGCUACCGCACGCGCCGAUACCGAUGAACAACGAACCGCCGUACCCGAUUCCCCGGGACGGUACCGACCCUACCGGUACCGCGCCUCCCAAACGGAAGUGUUCAAACCCCGUGGCACCUUUGGUACUGCAGCCGAAGAAGAGGCACCAUCACCCUUCCUCUGAUUCUGAUUCAUUCCAAUUGGAUCAGAUUGGUACCGACCGGGACUCCGAUACCGAUGAUGACCCUGAUACUGGCAACGCAAAUCCUCAAGAUACCGGUGGUCCACAGGGUCACGGUACUGACCCUCUUCCGGGACGCGGACAUAAGAAGCGCACGCCUAACCCCCCUGUGCCCAGACGUCUGGUACCGCAGAUACCUCGACCUGACUAUCCCGAGGACUCAGAUGACUCCGAUAUGGACAACAGUUUCUCUGAUGCCUCAGCACCCAGUGAUAAUACUCCUGACUCUGGAAUUAUUGACAAACCUCCUGUUUCACCGGCUGUGGAUUUUCCUUCCUAUUCCCAAAUGAUCCAUCGGAUCGCCACCACACUCGAACUCCCUGUAGAGAGGCCUCCUGAGAUGACUGGACAAGGUUUACGGGGACAUUGA
rnacentral:lncRNA from 1 species